UAUAAAGAAAAAUUGUAGUAAGUAGGGUUUUGAUUCCUAAAGAAAAAGUUAAUCUUCUUCUUCAUAA